CGAAUUGUUUCAACAAGAUAUGAAUAUAUGUGUGUACCAGUGGUGGAGCGUCAAUCAAAAGAGAACCAAUAUUUGUAUUAUGGGAUGUCACACGAUCGACAGGCAAGACAUGGCCAAAAGAAGAAGAACAGUGUGUCGGUUUUUUGGUAAAUUUGUCGAGAAGAUCCAAAUCAAUCAGUGUUUGAAUAUUCCUGUGGUGAAUAGAAUAUGCCACACACACAAAUCCAAUCAAUUUUUAAAUCAUCCAUCAUGGGCAACGAUUUGAAAAAUAUUUGCUUCGUAUGAGUGAAUUUAGAACCGUUCGUUUGGAAAUGUCAUCUUCGUAUUUUAAUUAACAUUUUUAUUGUGUUAUUAAUUACAGUCCAAGCCAUUCAGUAUUAGCAUUUUCCUGGCAACAGAUUUAGGAAUAUUUAUUUUAUUUAAAUUAAUUUUUUUAUACUCAAAAACAUAUCCUAAGUACAUUGCUUACCGUCUGUGAAGUUAGCUGUUCUAAUUGCCAUCACUUUUUUGAGGGACACAUUUUGCAAAAAAAAAAAAUAGAAUACAAUCCAGCUCGAUGGUGCUAAAUGUAAAUCGACGAAUUAAAGAUGAAAUCAUGAUUUUUACCAGGGCGAUCGUGUCUUCUUGGCAGUGUGUAGUAUUCAUUGAAAUGUUUCUAGUUUCUUUGAAGCCAUAGGAAAAGGGAUUUAAUUUUAUUUUACGUCAAAAAAGGAAUACAAAUUCAUUUUCAAACAAAAACAAGUAAAAAAGCUGUAAAUUCGGCUUGGCCGAACUUUGAAUACCCUCCACCAUUUGGAACGAAUUUGGCUAUUAUCCAAAACAAUAAAAUCCGUUAAAAAUUCUUUUAAAAUUCUGGAAAUAUCGAAUGUAGGGUCUAUACGACGACGUGGACCUGCAUAGGCGUGGACCAAUACCGAAUAUCGGGAGGUAUUUAUAUGGGGGCUAUACCAAAACGUGGACUUACAUGGCCCAUUUUCAAUACCAUAAGUCCUGCAGACAUAAUAUAAAUUUGAGUAAAAUUUUAUUAAUUUACUUCAUUUCGUUCGGAAGCUAGAGUGAUUUCCACAGACGGACGGACAACGCUAAAUCGACAUAGAAUUUAAUGCUGAUCAAGAAUAUAUAUACUUUGUGGGGUCUAAAAUGUAUAUUUCGAGGUAUUACAAACGGAAUGACAAACUUAAUAUUCCCUCCCUCCAUACUAUGGUGGAGGGUAUAAGAAAGAAAAGAAAUCGGCCGAUAGUGCUCCUCAGCCAUAGGAUUUUAGAGGAUGCGUAGUUACCGAAGACCCUUCGGCCCAUUAUGAUCAUCCUGUGUGAAAAGAAAGCAGGAAUGAAAGAAAGAAAGUUAUACCUAACACAUACCUAUCCAAAUAAAUAGUCACCGGUUCAGUUAUUUCAUCCUUCCUCUUGUCUGAGAAAUACGACAAUUUCCAUUCAACCUGUAGGAGUAGGUCAUUUUAGUUGCUCCCGCGCCUUCUUUGCCGUCAGACUGAUUAGAGGUAGUUUGGCUUCCAUUCAUCAUUGUCUGGAAUCGGUAUCUCAUUACUUGGAGGCCUUUUGGUCCAAUGCGUUCAUCCUAGGAAGAGAAAUUUCAGAUAGGAAAAAAUAGAAGACACAGCCGUUGGAAAUAAUGAUUAGUUGAGGUUGUUUGCGUCAGCAGAUAUAUUUAUUUUCAGGUUCUGCUGCAAUGUCCGGUUUUAGGAAGUCAGUUACUCUUAUAGACUAUAGCCAAAGAUCCUCUGGAGUGAGUAGCGAAGAUGUGGCAGGGAAAUUAAAAGUAUGCAGCGUAUUGUGCGGGCCUGUAUCACAUCUUCAUCAAUUCCGAACGCCCGCUCGCCCAUUUCGAAUUGAGACGGCUACACCAUUCAUUCCGGGGGGAAUUACUCACACGAUAACACUCAAGCAGUCACUGCAACGAAAGCAUAUGAUUAUGCUGACGUAUGGAAAGAACCUUCGUCUUCUCAUGUAAACGGUCCACUGGAGUCAUAAUGUGGCACUCUUUAAAGUUCUCAGGGCCGCAUUCUGAUUUAGCAGGAUGGUUUGACAUGCCAGAAGAUGCUUGUACAAAAUCUAUAGAUAAUGAUGGAAUCUACAGGUUGAGAUAAAAACUGCAACAAAGUCAUUUGUGGCCAUUGUGUGUUGGAAAUGAAGCGAGGGACCUCAUUUUGUAACCAUUCUUGGGUGGCGCGUGUUGAGUCCUGUUGUAAUGUCCAAGGUCUGCGGCCAAAAUGUCUGCGUGCCCUCCAGAAUAUUUUCGCGAUAAUAUUCGGUAUUUAUUCUGAUGCCACGGUCGAUUAAUACGAGCGGAAAGCGAUCAUCGGCUGUUAUGGCGGCCCACACCAUCACCAUGGCCGGCGCUUGAGUUUUGGUGGCCAACCGAAGGUGCACAUUUUCAGCUGACCUCUUUGGCAAGUAAACACGAUCAUUUUGUUUGUUUACAAACGGUUGGACCAGGAAUGUUUCUCAUCGGAGAUAACCAAAUUCAGCAGUUCACCACUUCUGGCCAAGCGUAGCAACUCUUUAACUCUUUUGAGUCUAUUUUCUUUCUGUUGCGGUGUGAGUUCUUGCACUUUUUGGAAUUUCAAUGGCUUUACCCCGAGCUAAUUUUUCAAUAUUUGCCGAAUGGAAUAUUGCGAUAUGUUCAGCUCACGAGCCAUUUUUCGGCUACUGCGACUCGAGUUUCGAUCAAGUCACUUUUUUACUUUUCGAACCAUUUCUGCUGAUGUUGCUGUUUUCUUCCUUCCACUUCCUUGACGACGGGCUACGCUACCAGUAUCACGAUAACGAGCGAUGGUAUGAGACACAAACGAUUUAUUCACAUUUAAAUGCUGGAGUGUUCUAACGAUAGCCACACACUUGAAUUCCAUCACGAAUAACUUUUUUUCUGGAAAAUUCUCACCACGCUUGUAAAAAAUAUAAUGUGCUGUCACUGGAAUAAUUUUAGCAGCUGUCAGACGAGUGGCUUAGAAAUGACAGCAAUCUGAAAUUGGUAGCAGUUUUUUCAUCUCAUCCUGCACAUAUAUAGUUUCUCUUCCUGUUAUGCAAAUGUCUUGAACAUCUUUUGAAGUAGUAUUCAUGAAAGUUUUUGAAAUUAAUCUAUAGCUUAGAGUGUUUUUGUUUAUUUCUUUAGCCAAACAAUAUACGCGAACAUAAAUUGGCAAAAUGAAAAGUAAAAAUAAAAAAAUAAAAGAAUAAUCAAUAUCACUUCAUUUCCUUCAUUAUUUUUAUAUGAUAUUCUCGCAAAGGCAAAAUUAAUUUCUGAUCAUUUUUCAUUUCAAUUUAAUUCAAUUUUACAAUAAUAUCAUCAUCCGGUCUCUUCAAAAACAGCUCUUCAGGCAUCCAAAAAGCAUUUUUUGUCUCAUUUAAAAAGGGGUUUGGGUCUUUUAUUUAAUUGUAAUGUUGCGUUCAUAAAUUUAAAAAAAAAAUCCCCAAAAACAUUUUGUGAUCCCGUAAUAUUUUUACACAACAUUAGUUCUGGCCUCUAUUUACUACGAUAUUGAAAAUCAUACUUCUUUUACAUACUAUUUAGAAAUUAUUGAAAAAAAAAACCCAUUCAUUCCAUUUUCGAUUUCUCAGAUCCCCUUAAGAUUGUUUAUUUCCCCCAAAUGAUAUCAGAAUUAUUUCAUUCAUUAUACAGGAAUGUGGGAAAUAUUAUCACAUACAACAAUACCAAGUCCUACAUAGGGUCGGCCAGUAAACACAUCUGACUACCAAGUUAGCUGUCUAAAUACGUAAUUGUGUUUUGAAAAGAAAACCAAUCUCAGUGAUUUGCUGCGUUUACUUUUUUUCUCCGACCUUAUGUAGACCUUCACCAAUUCAAUACAACUCUUUUUUUUAUUUAACACACCAAAUUUUUGUAAUAACACCUCUUUCUUCCCCACAACAUAAUUUAGAACACCUUUAGAUCUCUAUUCGAAUACAUUCGUUUUCGUAGAACAUUCGUCUUGAGGGUUUUUUUAUACAAUGUUUUUUUUUUUUCGAACUAGUUGCAGCUAAACCUACCUUUAAAAUAAAACUUCGCAAUGGGUAUGGAUAAGGUAAAGACUCCGAAAAGAUUGCCUUAUGAAAUCGUUCGUUAAAAACAGUUUUUUUUUUGUAAAUUUCCAAUAAAACAAAACAUCGACUGAAGGAUAAAUUUUUAAAAUAACAAGUAUUCAAUUCCAAUGUUUUUAAAAAAAAGUGAAGAGUUCGUUCCGCGUGAAUCGAUCACAACCUGGACUUGACGAAUAUAAUGGCCUACCAAAAAAAAAAAAAAAAAUACAAAUAGGUCGUUGUGUUGUUGUUGAUUACAAGCGUCGACGUAAAAACGGAUGAUAGUUUUGUUCGCAUGAUUUGGUAUAUCCUACAUUGAACUGCCCUCACCAAACUCUAGGAAAAAAAGGUGGGGUGCACGUGUGUUGAGCAUAUUUAAAGGCAAAUCUUGGCAAAGAAAAAUCAAAAAUGAAAAAUGAAAAAAUUAAUGUUGUUUGUUUGCGUAUUAGUUAUUUGCCCAUAAUUAUUUUUGAGCAAGACAUGACAAAAUCAUAGCAUUUAGCAGCCAGCCAUAUUUGGUUGAUGAAUGUUGUUGUUAUUGCAUCGUUUGUCUCUUUUUGUAUAAUUCUCCGUAAAUAACGCAUUGCCGUAUCUUCUCGUGUGUCCCAAUUUACUUGACAAUUGGAACAUUUUCUAACUGAACGUCGUAUUUCAUAAAUAUAUUUACCAACCGAAGAAGUUUAUGUUUCUUCCAUUUGGUGUCUGCGUGUCAAUGAAAUGCCGCAGCCAAACGAAGAAAUAGGAAAACUUGCAAAUUAACAAAACCAAAGGAAACACACACACGCACACAGCGAGAGGCUUUGCGCUUGAGCAACAAGUUAUUUUAUGUACAGUGUUCAGAAAAAAAUGGGGAACUACCUUGCAGGAUUUUAUUAUUACAUGUCAAAGGGAAUCUUGAGUGAGAACUUCUUUUCAGAUUGUGUAUUGGGGUUUAUGGUAUGGAAAAUCGUAUUUAGUCUGAUAAUAGAAUACCCAUUCUGGUCUGGUCUUUAUAUAUACCCUGUUUUAGUAAAAGGGAAGGCAUCGAAUCUUCAUAGAAAAGGCCUGUCAAUUGUUGCAGAAGAAGAAGAAGUUUGCGAUCUUCAAUCAGAAAACCAUUUCGGACUUCAACCAGAAGAUCUUUUUGGCAAAUAUAAGUCUUAAGGUUCUAUUCCGGUACGCUUUAAAAAUGCUAUUCUGAAUCCAGUAAAAUAUUCCGUGUUUUCUUUCUUCUAAUAAUACAAUUUUUAAUCCCCCUUUGAGACCUCUCUUUUAACCUCUAUAAGUUCUUAUUUCGGAUGACCAUUUAUUUACAUAUAGCCCUUAAAAAGGACACGUUUUGUGGAACAUUGUCUUUAUUCCUUAUGGACUUUCAUAUGGAUAUCAUUUUCGUUUUUUAUAAGUAGGCUUUUUAUGCUCCUAGAAGAUAGCAUAUUUGGGGUAUUAAAGUACAUUUUCCUGUUUUUUUUUUUUUUUUUUUUUUUUUAUAGAAAGACCUUUUUCCUUUUUACGAAGUAGAUGACCGACCUUUCAGUAUUAUAUCUUAAACCUUAAACCUUUGGUCUGCAAAAAAAAAUAGUUUUUUCGGAAGAUCGUUCCUUUACUUUACUUGCCCUUAAAAGGACACGUUUUGCGGAAUAUUUUCUUUCUUCCUUACGGACUUUCAUAAGGAUGACAUUUUAGACAUGUAUAAGUAGACUUUUGAAUCUCCCAUGAGAAUACAUCUUGGGACUUUUUAAAGGACUUUUUCCCCAUUUUUUAUAUAAAAAUACACUUUUAUCUCUUUAUGAAGUAGAAGACCAGCUUGCCAGUCUUACAUUUCAAUCCCAGUCUGGCUUGCAUAGAAUGAGUUUUUUUUUUUUUUUUUGGAAAACCAUUCCUAUACUUUAAAAAGCCCACGAUUUGUGGAACAUUGUCUUUUUCUCGUCUUUUUUCUUCCGGACUUUCAUAAGGAUGCAAUUUUGGCCUUCUAUAAGUAGACUUUUGAUUUUCCCAUGAGGGUUUUUAAAGGACUUUUUCCCCAU